ensembl:lncRNA
GCAACUCUUAAGACCAAGACUAAAACAACACGCUGCCGGUACCCAGGAUUGGACCAAGGACCUUCAGAACAUCAGUCCCGCCCGCUCCUGCCCGAGCCACGUCAGCUGCCUUGCAAGGGCCUCCUGCCGCUUCUCUUUUGAUUCUGUAUCUCCAACUUUCGCCUUCGGCAGGCUUCAGCUUCCUGAGCGGCGCGGGCCGUCGCUGCCCCUCCGCCUCCUGGGUAUCCCGAGCCGGGCUGGCCUGGGCGAUGGAGACCAGGCGAGGGGGCGCAGGCUCCGCCCGAAGGCUCUCCACCCGUGCUCGCCCGGACACAGCUCGCCAGCAAAGCACAGCACAGAGAAAUCGUGGGGCUCCUCAUUCCUUUUCUCUUUGACUCCCACAGUCUUCAAGCUGCUGAGAAUCGCAGCCAAGAGAAUAGACUUGAUUGCUGAAAUAGCAGGAGGAAGAGAGAACAUAAAAGUGAAAACUCCGAGGACGCCCCCAGCCAAUCACCGAGGGAGCCCCUGACUGUUCCCUGACUGUUCCUUGAAAGCUGCGGAAAGGAUGUGGUUUCCUUUCCCAGAAGGAUGGAGACCUGCGGUUCGGCCGCGCCCUCCCUUAGAGGAGCUCUGGACGCUGCGUGGCCCCGAUGCGUCGACGGUGGAGAGGAGCGGCCGAGGGACGCGGAGGCACCAGGCGAGUGCACGACCGGACGCAGUGAAUGGGCCCCCUCGUCUGGGGAGAUGAAUGCUGCUCGGGUCCUACCCAAACUUUUGACCCAGGGAAUUGUGAACAAACGCGACGAACGUGGUUUCUAAAAGGCAGUUGAUUUGGCGAUAGUUUGGCACAGAGCAGUACCAAACUUGGCAGCUUUCCCGCCACAGCGCUGCGGAGCUGAAGGAGGUUUCGAGGCGGCUGCAGGCGACACUUCCGAGCCUGCAGGAGACACUUCUGAGCAGGUCUGGCCCAGCGGCCCUGGCUCGCCCGCUCGCCGGGACCAGGAGUGGGAAGGGCCCAGGAGCCUCCUCGUCGGCAUUGUGUUCUCCAUCUCACGCGGUGCCGAAACCAGGUCCGAGUCUAGGAUUCUCUGAAACGGUGAAGACAAGGUAGACCUUGUCCUGCCGACGGUCAGGCCCCAGGUCGCAGUCGUGCGAGCGCGUCCAGGCCACCUCGGACUCGGGUGUCGCCUUUCUUCUCCCUCCGUCAAUGCUGUGACUGCAAUAAUAGCCCCGUCUCCCGGGGAGACUGCGGUUUCCAAAUAGAAAGAAGAGGCAAAGAGCACAGGCGGAGAAAGCAGGCAGGGCCAGGUCACGCCAGCUGCGGCAGCUCCGAGGGCCCAGACUGAAGUCCGGGAACCGCCCUGCCCUUUGAAGGGUCUGCGGUUUAUGUGGAAUGGAAUUCCGCCUCGCUCGAGGCCGUCACCAAGACGCUGUGCACGAGCUCUCUUCCGCCAGCCGCAAAUCUUCCAGAGCCGAGAGGAGGUCCGACCUGCAGGCCUUCGACCCUCCCCGCCUUCAGGGCAUACUCAGGUGCAGCGUGUGAUGAAGCCACUGAUUUAAAUUGCUUCUGUCCGGCUCUCCCUGGAGUGCGGGCGCCAGCGUCCUGAGACGCGGCGCGGAGCUUGCCGGCCCGCCCAGCUGCAGCACCCGGAGAGGUUGCGUUCACCCUGUGGGUCCGGUCCUCGCCGCCCAACUGAAUCCCAAUCUGGAGAAAGUGAGUCGUUCAGAGCCAGGGCAGCGGAGAGCAUGGCGAGGCCUGGCCUUGGCCCCAAACCCUAACCCUAACUCCAUGCCCACCCCAAAGCACCCCUGACCGCUGGCCCUAAGCCUGACCCUAACCCGCGGUGCCGGCGCCUCCUCUGCACCCGGGGGUCUUGCUUUGAGGCGCAGUUGUGCGGUUUGGAGCGAAGCUGUGAUUUUUUUUCUGGUUCGGAUGGUGAGCGGACUUUGAAAGAUCCUGGGGUCGGAAACAGGGUCCUUAGGACUCUGGUCUGUGUCUGGGUAUAUUCCGUUUAGGAAUUUCCAAAGUGGUAGAUUUUAACCCAGG